rnacentral:snoRNA from 1 species
AGACCAUGAUGAGGGCAACACAAAAGAUAAUCCAUAUAUCUCUCAUAGGCUUCAUACAACGAUUUAAAGUCAAGUUGGAUGAAAAAAGUAACAUAAUUCCUUAUCUU